AAAGUCUCCAGUCUCGGCCCAACU
rnacentral:siRNA from 1 species